AGCAGUCGCCACGGUAAUACGUAGGGUGCGAGCGUUGAUCGGAAUUACUGGGCGUAAGCGUGCGCAGGCGGUUGUGUAAGACAGGUGUGAAAUCCCCGGGCUUAACCUGGGAACUGCGCUUGUGACUGCACAGCUAGAGUAUGGCAGAGGGGGGUGGAAUUCCACGGGUAGCAGUGAAAUGCGUAGAGAUGUGAGGAACACCGAUGGCGAAGGCAGCCCCCUGGGCCAAUACUGACGCUCAUGCACGAAAGCGUGGGGAGCAAACAGGAUUAGAUACCCCCGUAGUCCCUGUCUCUUAUACAC
rnacentral:rRNA from 1 species